UAGGGAAUCUCCGGCAAUGGACGAAAGUCUGACCGAGCAACGCCGCGUGAGUGAAGAAGGUUUUCGGAUCGUAAAACUCUGUUGUUAGAGAAGAACAAGGACGUUAGUAACUGAACGUCCCCUGACGGUAUCUAACCAGAAAGCCACGGCUAACUACGUGCCAGCAGCCGCGGUAAUACGUAGGUGGCAAGCGUUGUCCGGAUUUAUUGGGCGUAAAGCGAGCGCAGGCGGUUUCUUAAGUCUGAUGUGAAAGCCCCCGGCUCAACCGGGGAGGGUCAUUGGAAACUGGGAGACUUGAGUGCAGAAGAGGAGAGUGGAAUUCCAUGUGUAGCGGUGAAAUGCGUAGAUAUAUGGAGGAACACCAGUGGCGAAGGCGGCUCUCUGGUCUGUAACUGACGCUGAGGCUCGAAAGCGUGGGGAGCAAACAGG
rnacentral:rRNA from 2 species